rnacentral:lncRNA from 1 species
GAAAUAAAAAAUUAACAAAAGUGUAUAUAAGACUGCAAUUUUGAUAUUUAAGUUGAAAUUUGGAUGCAAAUUUGGAUUUGAGGGUCGGAUUGGGGAAGUUGCAUUGCUGUUGUAAUUUUGGAACAGCUAAACUGUGGGGAUUCGUAUACAUGUUGCGAUCUCUGAAUCUGAUUGUGAUUUUACUGUAAGGAUGUUUAUCUUCACCAGCAGAAAAUCUAUUGAAGAAGAUUGAAAAACAGCCCUUAACCAAUCGACU